rnacentral:lncRNA from 1 species
AGCGCCCAAGGAUCACGUGAGCUCCGACAAUUCCUCACGUCGAUGUGGCACCUAAUUAAUUAUCCGUUCGAUUUUUCACCAACGAUCAGAUGCGGCUUAUUCCAUGAACCGUCGGAUUCGACGAUCCAACGGCGAGGAAAGAAAACCUAGCGUGGUAAUUGAAGUGCUUCAGAUAUCGGCUAUAAGAACGCCGGCGAGCUAACUCCCAAAACCCUCUCCAGCUCUUUCGAGUACUGAUUCUUGCCCUAAUUGUCUCUUUUUGGGAGGGCCGAGUCGUUCGACACCGCCGUCACCUCCAAAAGGUGAGGUCUUUGGUUCUCUUGUUAUCCGAUCCUGUCUGUUUUCAUGUCGAAUCUUGUCGUAGAAGGAGAAAGAUCGCUUUUUAUAAGGCAAUAAGUCUAGGAUUUCUUGUAAUUUAUGCGCGAUUUUCUGGCGCUUGUUUGAAAGACACAUUUUCUUUAUUAAGUUAUAUCGUGGAACGAUUACCUAAAGUUGAUUCAUUUUGUGCAUCCGAUUUUUUUCAUCAAGAAAUUUGUUUCUGUUCUCUUUAUCGAAAGGAUUGUUGAUUGCUAUUCUGUAUGCUUUUGACAGCAUAUUGACGUCAAGGAUAUUAAUUUUUGGUCAUUGGCGUGCUUUAAUUUUCACAUGCUUCUGUUUAUUGGU